GAUGAACGCUGGCGGCGUGCUUAACACAUGCAAGUCGAACGGAAAGGCGCUGCUUUUGUGGGGUGCUCGAGUGGCGAACGGGUGAGUAACACGUGAGUAACCCGCCCUUGACAUUGGGAUAACUUCAGGAAACUCGGGCUAAUACCGGAUAUGAGCUCCUGCUGCAUGUGGGGGGUUGGAAAGUUUCGGCGGUUGGGGCUGGACUCGCGGCUUAUCCGCUAGUUUGUGGGGUAGUUGCGUACCAAGGCUUUGACGGAUAGGCCGCCUGAGAGGGUGGCCGGCGACCAGAGGACUGCGAGACGGCGCAGAAGGCUAUGGGAGGCAGUAGGCGAAAGUAUUGCACAGCGGGGCGGAGCGAGAGGCGAAAAUGCCGGGUGCGGGAAGACGUCUUACGGGUUGUAAACAGCUUUGGCAGGUGACGAGGACUGGGUGACGGUAAUGGGUCAAGAAGCCCCGGCUAACUACGUG
rnacentral:rRNA from 1 species